rnacentral:rRNA from 1 species
AUUGAACGCUGGCGGCAUGCCUUACACAUGCAAGUCGAACGGCAGCACGGGGGCAACCCUGGUGGCGAGUGGCGAACGGGUGAGUAAUACAUCGGAACGUGCCCAGUAGUGGGGGAUAGCCCGGCGAAAGCCGGAUUAAUACCGCAUACGACCUACGGGUGAAAGCGGGGGACCGCAAGGCCUCGCGCUAUUGGAGCGGCCGAUGUCAGAUUAGGUUGUUGGGGGGGUAAAGGCCUACCAAGCCGACGAUCUGUAGCUGGUCUGAGAGGACGACCAGUCACACUGGGACUGAGACACGGCCCAGACUCCUACGGGAGGCAGCAGUGGGGAAUUUUGGACAAUGGGGGCAACCCUGAUCCAGCCAUGCCGCGUGCGGGAAGAAGGCCUUCGGGUUGUAAACCGCUUUUGUCAGGGAAGAAAUCCCUUGAGCUAAUACCUCGAGGGGAUGACGGUACCUGAAGAAUAAGCACCGGCUAACUACGUGCCAGCCGCCGCCGUAA